rnacentral:tRNA from 1 species
CAAGAGAUAGUUUAAAUAAAAUAUUAAUUUUGGAUAUUAAAGAAGUUACUUUCUCUCUUGA